rfam:Parcubacteria bacterium GW2011_GWA2_49_9 TY50_C0022, whole genome shotgun sequence.
CCGCCCUUAGCUCAAUGGUUAGAGCAUCCCGCUUAUAUCGGGAGGGUUCUAGGUUCGAGUCCUAGAGGGCGGA